rnacentral:rRNA from 1 species
GACGAACGCUGGCGGCGUGCCUAAUACAUGCAAGUAGAACGCUGAAGGAGGAGCUUGCUUCUCUGGAUGAGUUGCGAACGGGUGAGUAACGCGUAGGUAACCUGCCUGGUAGCGGGGGAUAACUAUUGGAAACGAUAGCUAAUACCGCAUAAUAGCAGUUAUUGCAUGAUAACUGUUUGAAAGGUGCAAUUGCACCACUACCAGAUGGACCUGCGUUGUAUUAGCUAGUUGGUGGGGUAACGGCUCACCAAGGCGACGAUACAUAGCCGACCUGAGAGGGUGAUCGGCCACACUGGGACUGAGACACGGCCCAGACUCCUACGGGAGGCAGCAGUAGGGAAUCUUCGGCAAUGGACGGAAGUCUGACCGAGCAACGCCGCGUGAGUGAAGAAGGUUUUCGGAUCGUAAAGCUCUGUUGUAGAGAAGAACGAGUGUGAGAGUGGAAAGUUCACACUGUGACGGUAUCUUACCAGAAAGGGACGGCUAACUACGUG